rnacentral:rRNA from 1 species
UACGGGGGGGGGCAAGCGUUGUUCGGAAUUACUGGGCGUAAAGGGCUCGUAGGCGGCCAACUAAGUCAGACGUGAAAUCCCUCGGCUUAACCGGGGAACUGCGUCUGAUACUGGAUGGCUUGAGAUUGGGAGAGGGAUGCGGAAUUCCAGGUGUAGCGGUGAAAUGCGUAGAUAUCUGGAGGAACACCGGUGGCGAAGGCGGCAUCCUGGACCAGCACUGACGCUGAGGCGCGAAAGCGGAGG